UAGCAGGAUAAGUUACAAUGCAGCUUGUUUGGUACUGCUUUGUCGUUCCCCCUGCACACAAUAAACUGUUUCCUCGCUAUACCUGUCAGUUAGCAUCACUCGACUGCCAGGCACGAAAGGUUUCAGACAU